GCUCAGUAACACGUGGAGAACGUGCCCUUAAGUGGGGGAUAAUCUCGGGAAAUUGAGGAUAAUACCCCAUAGGUCAUGGGAUCUGGAAUGACCCAUGGCUGAAAGUUCCGGCGCUUAAGGAUCGCUCUGCGGCCUAUCAGGUAGUAGUGGGUGUAACGUACCCCCUAGCCUACGACGGGUAUGGGCCUUGAGAGAGGGAGCCCAGAGUUGGAUUCUGAGACACGAAUCCAGGCCCUACGGGGCGCAGCAGUCGCGAAAACUUCACACUGGGGGGAACCCCGAUGAGGGAAUUCCUAGUGCUUGGGCAUUUGUCCAAGCUUUUCCCGAGCGUAGAUAACUCGGGGAAUAAGGGCUGGGUAAGACGGGUGCCAGCCGCCGCGGUAAUACCUGCAGCCCGAGUGGUGGUCGAUUUUAUUGAGUCUAAAGCGUUCGUAGCCGGUCCGUUAAAUCCUUGGGUAAAUCGGGAAGCUCAACUUUCCGACUUCCGAGGAGACUGGUGGACUUGGGACCGGGAGAGGCCAGAGGUACUUCUGGGGUAGGGGUAAAAUCCUGUAAUCCUAGAAGGACCACCGGUGGCGAAGGCGUCUGGCUAGAACGGAUCCGACGGUGAGGGACGAAGCCCUGGGUCGCAAACGGGAUUAGAUACCCCGGUAGUCCAGGGUGUAAACGCUGCCGACUUGGUGUUGGGGGCCCUUCGGGGGAACUCAGUGCCGGAGAGAAGUUGUUAAGUCGGCCACUUGGGGAGUACGUCCGCAAGGAUGAAACUUAAAGGAAUUGGCGGGGGAGCAC
rnacentral:rRNA from 1 species